GUUAUUAUGACAUUUUAUCUUCCACAGACAUACGUUUUAAAUUUCUACGCUUGCUUGAUAGACAGACUUUUUGAUCGCACUGUAUAAUAGAUUUUAUAAAUUCAAUGACUGAAAAAAAAUCAGUGUUUCAAGUACUUAACUUCUGACCACUACCAUAACAAUUAGCUCAUUUAUUAACCGUUCCUUUGAUGAUUAGAUGAACCUUACAGUUAUGUAACAUUUACUGACCAACAGCAAUGGCGUCUUUAUCAACUUUAAUUAGUAUUAUACUAAUUAUCAGCGUUGGACAGAAAUUGUUAACUUAUCCAGUAAAGAUAUAAUUAGUGCUACUAUGUCGUCAAUGGAUCCAUUUGACUGGCUUGGUGCUCGUCCUCUUUUCAAUAGAGCAGAGAUUCCUUCUUUUUCCAUACAAAGAAAAACAGCACAAA